UGGUGUGAGCACUGCUAUUGCGUGUUUACUGUGACCGUGACAUUUUACAGUUACGUAGAUGGGGGCGUGAGACGUUUUUGUACGAGGCAUCAAUGCUAACACCUUUUUUGCGAGAACCUUUUUAUGCUUGUUAAGAACAAUGGAAGUCGUUCACCGCAUAACAAACCCAUAGUUAGGGUAGCCUCUAUGAUGUUUGGAUACCACAUGAACACGCUUACUGAUAAAUGUAAUUGUUCUUCUUUUGGAGUGUCCCUGUAUGGUUAAGAAGCAACAAGCGUGCCGUGAAAAAUUUAACGAUUCA